CCUACGGGGGGCAGCAGUGGGGAAUAUUGGGCAAUGGGCGCAAGCCUGACCCAGCAACGCCGCGUGAAGGAAGAAGGCUUUCGGGUUGUAAACUUCUUUUCUCAGGGACGAAGAAAAUGACGGUACCUGACUAAGAAGCCCCGGCUAACUACGUGCCAGCAGCCGCGGUAAUACGUAGGGGGCAAGCGUUAUCCGGAUUUACUGGGUGUAAAGGGAGCGUAGGCGGCGAUGCAAGUCAGAAGUGAAAGCCCGGGGCUCAACUCCGGGACUGCUUUUGAAACUGUGUUGCUAGAUUGCAGGAGGGG
rnacentral:rRNA from 1 species